AGGAAUUUAGGUUAAUCAAACCAAGGACCUUCAAAGCCCUAAAAGAGAGUAUAAACCCUCAAUUUCUG
rnacentral:tRNA from 1 species